AUCCCAACUGUAACCAAAUGAAGUCUUUGAUGACAUAAUUGUAAAUUAUAGAUAUGUAGUUGUGUGUUUACAUUACAGUCAUCAUAUUUGUGCAGCUAGAUUCUAUUUACUCUUAUGAGAUAAAAACGUUUUUAUAGGAACAAAGCUUUUCUACCUACAUGCAUACAACUAAUAAUAAAAAUCCUAGAAGCACCUCAAUUUCCUUAUAGCCAUAUAUUUGGAUAAUUUAUUCACCAUAUGUGCCCAUAUUUGAUUACACACAUGGUAUACACAAAUGGCAGGCUAGGUAAAUAAUUUAAAGUGAGUUGAAAAAGAGGGGAACAGAAUUCUUGAAUUCAUAUCUUUACUAGAACAUCAACAUGUUCAACAAACGGGUCUGGAACAACAGCCAAUCUUGAACAGUUUCCCUUAAUAAAGGUGAAUAAAAUUGUAAACAUUUUAUUUCUCUCAUAAGAUUUAUAAAUAACAGAUUAUUCAAUAAAUAUUUUUGUUUUCCUAGUUUUAUAAUCUUCUAACUCUAAGGCGGUAUUACCUGAUAAUUUACACUCUACAGAUGUUUUAACAAAAGUUUCAGCCAAACUACUUCAAGUUGGAACCAAAACUUAAUUAAUAUAAAAUAUUGUUGUGUAACCAUGGCGCGACCCUGAAUGCCGGACACGUGGGCGCUACUAACACACGCCCGCUAUCUUAACUAGCAAGGCUCACGAUUUUGAAAAUGUUUUUGAAUUUUAAUUAAUUCUUUUUAUUUUAUUUAAUUUUUUUUUAAUUUAAAUUAAUUUUAAACUGUGAGUCAUCGAACAACAGAGUUCGGCGAGAAAUUGCACUUUGACCACGGACCAACUUUCUUGCUUGCUCUCUUUAUUUUUUUUGUAGAUUUUUUUAGGACUUAAGUUCCAUUUUGGAUCAACGCAAAAUGAAGACGGCCCGCACCGACCGACCCUACAGAGGACCGACCCGAGUGCCAAGAAGCUACAGACAAGAUGCAUCCCCAGACCAGCCCCAACCCAGGCACCAAUAAAAAGUUACAUCCCUUAGUACGGCCCUGUGACUUCCAGGCUCCCACACAACAAUAUAUUCAAUUGUUAACAACUAUUGAAUUCAAAUAUUAUCUACCAACAUUAUCCUACACACAUUGGACUGGAUAUUUGAAAAAUAAUUAAACCUACAAAUGUGUCAAUGUUUUUAUUAUUAUUAUCCCUAAGUAUACACAUGGUACAGGUCAUGAUAAUUAUGGUGAGUUCCUUCACUGUGUAAAUACACAACAAGUUUACAUAUGUGGAAAAUACUUUUGCACUUACAAGUGUGCCAGAGCCCAGUGUGAUCACUUGCACUCAAUGGUGGGGUUGGACUUUUGCAAGAAUCAGGGGCAUUGGAGCAUUUUAAAAAUUUUGAUAGCCACUCAUCCACUGACCUCCAAUGUGUAAUAUAAUCAAACAAUUUUCAUUCCAAUUAUACAAUUUGGAAUAUAGCUUUGGAACAUAAAGUAACAAAGACCAAAUCAAAAUUUUAAAAAAAUUGUGCAUGACAUUUUGGUAUCACCAUCAGACAAAAUUUUGCUGAUUAAGGUUGCUGAAUCAGAGCAUAAAUAAAAUGGUCACCUACCACUGUACAUAAAUACCUAUAAACAAAGUAAGACAUAUUUUCAGAUAAGUAAAAUGUGCUUAGGUUUAUCCCUCAUAGAUAUUUGAACUGUGUGUUUCUGGAUGAAAUUGUUGACAGGAUUUAGAGCAUAUAGGUUUGGAAGUAAUGAUUGUGAUGUGAUUGGGUUCCUGAAUAUGCAAAUUAUCAGAAGAAAUUAUCAUAUUUCAGGUAGCAAAAAAGAAAGAUAUAUAAAAUUAUAUUACAGGAUAAUGAAUUCUUAUAAUCAUUGCUAUUACUGCCAAUAAUAAAAAUGGCAAUGGGAGAGUGAACAUGUGGUUGUCCUCAGGGAAUGUUUGAUAGUUCAACACUCACAUAAAGAAGCGCUAGGUGAUAUAGAACCUCAAGACACCAGUUAGGUAAGAAACAAUUUGGUUACUUUCUCACCCAAUAUAUUGCAACACCGCUGCUGUGUCAAAGAUUGUCAAAUGUGUACCAAGAUUGAUAGGGAUCUCCGUUUGACUCUUUUUAUUUACCUUCAUGGAUUAUGGGGAAUAAGCAAGUAACAGACAGGGAAGAUCAACCCAACAAUGCCGUCAACAAGAGGGAGAAUGACUGUCGUCCAGUUGGGCUACUUCUUCCUGAUUGGUCCAUCUGCCCCCCCCCCCCCCACACGUUGGAUGAUUUAGCCACUUCGGACGUCGUCGUGACACUGACCUCCUCCUAAGCCUGUUUGUCCCAAACAGGGCAAACCACCUCUCCAGACUUCUGGAAGACCUUUAAACUUAUAAAUGCCUCCAACCACAUGAGUCUUGUCAGCCAACUUGAAACGUAACGCCAGGAUUAGUGUCACCCCCUGUUUGUUGCACCACAUUUCAACUCUGGCCCUAUUUCCACUCUCAAUCCGUGCUGAUUCCAUAGGCUCUUCUUGUAAUGGAGGUGCCUAUCACAGGUCGAUGGUUCUCCACCGCGAUCCUAGUUCACUCCUUUCGAUUAUUUCAUUUGUGGCUUUUUCUUCCUUGCACAAUACCUUGAACCGCCUGGAAACUACUACUAAUAUUACUCUGUUCUGUUGAUCAGUAUCGAGCAGAUUCAUUGAAAUUUUGGGUGCAUUUCGUCAAUCGCUGACCAUACCUCUCUUCUGUGAUUUUGCCUUUGGUUAGUAGUCCGUAAAAACCAUAUUCUCUCUUCUGUGAUUGUUUCUUUUGCAUUCAAGGAGGUGAAUGAGACCAGCCUCAGACCACCAAAAAGUCAUCAUUACUUUCUUCUGGUGCAAACUGGUUUCGGUAUGUUUUCGGAGCUACGUCAUUAUCCAAACAAACGCUGAACGUCACCAGUUGUCAUAAAGAAUACACUCCUCGUUGAAAGUUACGUUUGAGAAACGGCUGUUCAUGUAUUGAAGAAGUAGCAUCGACGACACUCCAAAACGGCAAUUUUUCUGAUUUUCAUUCAAUUCGUUCGAUACACAUUUGUCGAACUUUUACCUUUCCAAUUUGACCCAAAUGUCGAACAACCAUAGAAUGCUCGAGAGACAUUGAGUUCUUCGGCAACUUCUCGUGUAGUUUUGUAUGUGUGCUUCGAUUAUAUCUCCUUUAAUUGAUCGGUGUCAACCUCGACCCUCUCUACCUUCACGGCUGGUGUCGCCGGCGCGGGAAUUUACGAACUACCUGCGCGUAGUGCGGAGGUAGCGCUGAUAACAUUUCGGGUUGUUUCCACAGUGUUGUGUCAAGUUUGAACUCAUAAAGUAAAAUAAUGAAUAUUUCUUGUUUUCAAAGCAUUUGUUAUUUUAACAAAUCAGAACAAAUUGAUAGAAUUAAAAUAUUUAAUUUAAAACGAUAUAUAGCCUUUAAAACGAUAUAUAACAUGAAUAAAUUAGAUUACUAUAAUAUUCAAAUAUCAAUAGUAUGAAAUCAGUCAUAAUCUCAAAUCAAUAUUUAUUCCUUUCCUUGACGAGUUCGAUGGACCCGUGAGGGUUCUCCACUUCUGCCGGUAUCAAUGACGUCACUCCUUGCUUACUGUCUCUCUCUCUCGACAUAUUCUCCAGUGAUAUUUACCAUAAGUCAUCAUCACGGGAUCUUUCCAUCUAACAAGAUGGACUUCCUACCACAUGUUUGGAUACUAGUCAUUAACACUUAUGGUCCAACGGAUAUCCCUCAUUCUGGCUAUGUGACCGGUCAAAUUGUUGCUUAUAAGGUAUCUGUUGUAUCUUUUAUACGGGUUCAUUUACCUUUAGCUUUAUAUAUAUUUAAUAUAGUUACAGCCUUUAUGUAUAUAGACAAUUAAUAUACCGCCGUGCUAGAACAAUUAUAUAUUUAUUAUCCGGCGUUGUUUACAUACUGUGUUGCCAGAUCUUUUGUAGCACAGAUUAUAACUAUAUACAACAUGUUCCCCUUUUAAUUAAAGUCCGGGGUCGAAUCUUUUCGGAGGCUUUACCACACGUCCACUUCUAGUGGUGUAGGCAGUGCCUCCUUCAUUGUAGUUUCCUAUGGGAGUUGAAGUGGAUGGGGCCAACUCUUCAGGACUGAGGUUCAGGCGGGGAAAUUCUCCUGGUUCCCCUUGACCACUGGACUCCGAUGAUGUCGAGGGGGCUGGAUCCAAUUGGAGCGAUGACUGGCUGCUCCUUCUCUGUCCAACAGGAUAACUUCUGGGCCGUAGGUGAACUCUGUUCCGUUUUAACAUUCGGCCCUCGUUGUUCUGAAUGAUGUAUGAUCGAGGCUGGUUGGCUUCUCCAAUGAUGGUAGCUGGUCUCCAGGCAUUGCUAGUUUUGGCAUUUACCUGUUCACCAGAACUCAUUUUAGGAAGUAUUUUGGCAUUUCGGUCAUAAUAUUCUUUCAUCUUAUAUUGAUUUUCCCUCUUCUGCUGUAGAAUGUUUUCCGUGCUAAUGAAAGCAGGUUUUAGCUUUGUGGUUUUCAUUGGGAUCAAGGUUCUCAAGUUUCUUCCCAUUAGCAUCUGAGCUGGGGACGGUAGAUUAUUUGACGGAGUUGUUCUCAGGGCUAUUAAACACAUAUAAGGAUCAGUGUUGUCUUGACGGCAUUUCUUAAGUUGCUUCUUUACUGUUUGCACCAUCCUCUCCACUAAUCCGUUUGAUUUUGGGUAUCCUGGGCUAGAGGUUUUAUGUUCUAUGUCCCAUUCAUUUGUAAAAUUAGUAAAGUCUUGUGAUGUAAAUGGUGGUCCAUUAUCAGUGAUGAUGAUCUCUGGAAUCCCAUGUCUUGCGAAGGUAGAUUUCAAAACUGGUAGAAUCUCUUUUGCUGAAGUUGAUGCUACCUUGAUGACUUCAGGAAAGCUGCUGUAGUAGUCUACUAUUAUUAUGAAUACAGAUUGGUCUAGAUAGAAGAAAUCAAUAGCUACUUUUUACCAAGGGUAGUCUGCUAUUUCGUGAGGUAUAAGUGGUUCUUUCCUUUGCGAAGGUUGUGAUUCUUGACAAAUUCUACACUUAUAAACCAUCUCUUCUAUUUCUCUAUCCAGUCCAGGCCAAUAAAUAGCUUCAUGUGCUCUGUUUUUACAAGCAGAGAUCCCUUGAUGAGACAUGUGUAGUGUUUGCAAGAUGCUUUCCCUUUGGACUUUAGGGAUGACAAGUCUUUGUCCUCUACAAAUCAGGUCUUUCCAUAUAUAUAGUUCUUCUUUACAAUGCCAGUAGGGCUUAACAGCAUAGUCCACACUUUUCUUAUGAAUAGGCCACCCAUUCAGUAUAUGAUCCCUUAAUUUUAUCAUUUCUUCAUCUGACUCCAUAUCUCUGAGAAUUUCCUGGUAUCUUUUAGUGGUCACCUUCAGAUUUAGAGUCAUAAUGGUGUUCUGGAGAUCCAGAUCUGAGGUGUCGAUGGUUUCCUCUGAAAUUGAAUCUCUAGAUAGAGUGUCUGCGGUGUGAAUCACUUUUCCUGGUACAUAUUCUAAAUUAAAAUCAUAUCGCAUCAAUUUCAAGACCAGUCUUUCAAGUCUUGGAGAUAAUUCCUCUAGUGGCUUUUUUAGUAUAGCCAACAAGGGUUUAUGAUCCGUCUGGGCUGUGAACUUUCUUCCAUACAAAUGAUAGUUAAAUCUUUGGCAUCCAUACCAGAGAGCUAAGAGCUCCUUUUCAAUCUGGGCAUAUUUUUUCUGAGUGUUAUUCAAGGAUGCGGAUGCAAAAGCGAUGGGUCUUCCCUCUUGCAUCAAGACAGCCCCAAGCCCAUGUUGACUAGCGUCCACUGAAAGUGUUACCUUCCGAUGGGGGUCAAAGAGGCCAAGAACUGGAGGAUUUGAUACCAAAUUUUUCAGCUCAAUGAAUUCUUUUUCUAUAGCCUCAUUCCAUGUCCACAGGGUAUUCUUUUUUAGGAGUUGUCUUAACAAGACAGUUUUAUCUGCCAGAUUAUGCAUGAAUUUAGCUAGAUAGUUCACAGUUCCCAAAAAUCUUUGAAGAGAUGUCUUGUCCAUUGGUCUUUUUAUUUUUUGUAUUGCUUCUAAUUUAGAUGGAUCUGCAGAGAUGCCAUUCUUGGAUAUCUCAUGUCCAAUGAACUUAACUUUUUCUUGGGCCAGUUGCAUUUUAUUGAAUUCAAACUUUAAAUUAUUUUUUCUAGCAAUUUCCAAAACCGUAAUCAGUCUACUAUUGUGCUCCGUGAGGGAGUUUCCGUAUAUUAUUAUAUCAUCCAUGUAUACUUUUACUCCUUCAAUUCCUGUAAACAUACUUUGCAUUUUUUUAUAGAAAACUUCUGGAGCGCUGCAAAUACCAAAAGGUAACCGAUGGAAUCUGUAAUACCCAUAAGGUGUAGCCAUUGUUAAAAGGCUAGAUGACUUUUCGUCUAACUUGAUUUGCCAAAAGGCUGACUUAGCAUCAAGUACUGUAUAGAUGGGUGAUUUUGUGAUAUCAGCAAUGAUGCCUUCAGGGGCAGGAAGUUGACGAUAUUCCAUUUUAAUCCAUGGAUUUAGCUCUCUAGGGUCCAUACAGAUACGAACCUUUCCAUUUGGUUUCUUAAUGAUUACCAUCGGGUGUGCCCACUCUGCUGGUUGGUCUACCUUUGAGAUGAUCUUUUGUUCCUCCAUCGAUUUUAGCUCCAUCUCAACUGGUUUUUUCAGUGCAAACGGAAUUCGGCGAGCUAACUGAAUUCUUGGAUGUGCAUUUUCUCUCAGGAUCACAGAAUGCUCUCCAGGGAGUGUUCCGAUCUCAUCAAAGACAUCUCUGUAGGACUCUAUUAUCUUUGUAGGUGAAGCAUCCAUCUUUGUCCUAGUAUGGUCCUGUUCCAACGACUCUACUUUUAAUAUCAGCUCUAAUUUUUUACACGCUGCCAAUCCCAAAAUUGGUGGAGCUGGCAAAUCCACGACUAGAAAUUCAAGGAUUUCAGAUUUUUUCCCAGAGGUACAUGAAGCCUUGCAUUUGCCCCUUAUUGGUACUUUUUCUCCUGUAUAUGAAUAAACCGCAAUCCCAGUUGGAUAUAUGCAGGGUUUAUUUUGCCAAUUUUUAAUGGUAUCCAAUGGCAGGAUGUUCACCUGUGCUCCUGUGUCUAAUUUAAAAUUAACUGAAUUAUUCUCCACCAAGAUUAUUUUAGUCCACUCUAGACCAGUAAUGCUAUCUAGGGAUAGGUAUUGAAGACACAUUUCUUCUUCCUCUUCCGCUCUUUCCUCCAACAUAUGCACUCUGUUCCUACACAUUUUAGCAAAAUGGUUUGGUUUUUUACAUGAAUUGCAUAUUUUACCAUAUGCAAAACAUUUACCAUAUGGAUGUCUGGAACCACAAUUUUGGCAAACCUUUGCAUUAGGAUGUUCCUCAGAUACAUUAGGUUUUCUACCAACUGGAUAUUUGAAAUUCUUUUUAUAUUGCUUUUUAUAUUUUAUAGAAUGUAAAUCAACAUCUUCUCUAGUUAUAUUUUUUACUUGUUGUCUAGAAGUUUCAGUAGCUCUUCCCAAGUCUAUGGCUUUAGCUAAAGAAAGAUCAGGAUCUUGUAGCAUCCUUUCUUUUAAAGCUUUGUCUUUAAUUCCAAUUAUAAUUCUAUCUCUGACCAAGGAAUCUGCAAGCUCUCCAAAUUCGCAGUCCAUGCUUUUAUUUUUCAAUUCAGUUACAUAGUCAUCAAAAUUCUGAUUCUCCCCUUGUUCCGUUGUAAAAAACUGGUACCUCUUAUAGGUUGUGUUUUUAUAUGGUUUAAAGUGUCCAUCAAACAGUUCAAGUAUAUCCGGAACAGUCGGAGAGGCAUCAGUUUCUUGUAUUUUAAAUGUAGAGUAUAUAUCUAGGGCUAACUCACCAAUAUUAUAGAGUAGAAUAGCCCUUUGUCUUGGAAUAGAUUUUUUAUCUAUUUCUGUGGCUAUGUAAAACAUUUGGAAUCUCUUUUUCCAUUUACCCCAUGCUUCUGAUGGGUUUGUUCCAGGCACAAAUGGCUGCAAACUAUUCCCGGUACUCGAGGCCAUUUUUCAACGUGUUAGGCUUAAUUGAUAUUUGAAAUUUUACUUAUCUUUCAAAAUCCCGGCGCUGCCACCAUGUUGUAUCUUUUAUACGGGUUCAUUUACCUUUAGCUUUAUAUAUAUUUAAUAUAGUUACAGCCUUUAUGUAUAUAGACAAUUAAUAUACCGCCGUGCUAGAACAAUUAUAUAUUUAUUAUCCGGCGUUGUUUACAUACUGUGUUGCCAGAUCUUUUGUAGCACAGAUUAUAACUAUAUACAACAGUAUCAAAGAUCAUACUGACGAUCAUAUUGACGAAAUGAACCCAAAAUUUCAAUGAAUCUGCUCGAUACUGAUCAACAGAACAGAGUCAAUCCUCAUUCGCGACAACGCCCGACCUAACGUCUCAAUGAUGUCACGGUAAAAGCUGCUUGAGUUAGCCUAGGCAAUUCUUGACCACCCGCCAUAUUCGCCCGACCUCUCGACAACCACUUUAUCAAGUUCCUCAACCACUUCUAAGGGGCCGCCGACAUCGCCUUCAGAACUCCAACAGAGUUGGCAAAAACUGUAUAGAAUCUAAUGGUCCCUAUUUCUAUUAUGAUAGCUAUUAUAAUAUAUAUAUUCUAUAAUAUAAUUAUCAAUGUUGUGUUAGUAGUGAAAUAUUGCGCUUGAAAGUGUCCGCCAAAAAUCGGCGAUUAUUUGUAUUUCCUCUCUGUAAUUCUAGAAGUAACAAGACCAAGCUGAUAUUUCAUUGUUAACAUCAUUUUAGAAUUGACUCUAUAUUCACCAAGUACAUAAUAGUUUUAUUAAAAUUAUAUCACAAAAGUUUUAAAUUAUAAAAAUAUUUUAUAUAUAUUAAAAUAUAUAAUAAAUUUAUAAAUAAUAAUAAAUAUGACUAGCUUUCAGGCGUUGUUCUUCAAUGUCACAAAGCCACAUUCAUGUUUUUAAUUUUAACUGUUUACAGAUUUAGUUUUUUUUUCUUUCAAAUUAACAUUUUGAGGAUAAUUCAAAGAGCUAUAAAUGUUUCUUCGUGUUUCAAUCAGCUACAAAUCACAGUUUUCACCUUUGUUACUUUCUACUGCAGGUGCAGAAAUGUGGUGUACUCACUGUGCAAGGUAACUUGUCGACUGUCGGGCUCCUCACGUCUUGUACCAUCGUCUCACUCCAUCGUUGGCGGUUUAGUCCAAAAAUAUCUUUAACCUGAUCCGUCCAUCUUUUUUAAUUCCGUCUUCUUCUUAUUUAUUUAGUUAACCUAGGUUCCUGGAGGGUACAGAGGUCGCCAACCAGCCAGGCUGUCCUUCUGACCUAAGUCUUCUUGGUUUUAUUUACAAUGCCAGUGGAAAUCAAAUUCAUGAGCUGAUGCCAUGCAGUUUUAUUUCUUAGUAAAUACUCUAGGGAUGCUGGACCAAGGUUGGUGAUCCCUAAUAGUGUCGCCGUCAGGAAUCUUUGGUAUUGGAAGCUUGGACAGGUGAAGAGGAGGUGGUCCACGGUUUGGUAUUUGCCUUGGCUAUUGGCGCGAAUUGAGUCUUCUUUCAAUACCUUUGCAUAGUCUGCCUGAAUGCAACAAUGUCUAGCCAAUAUUGUUGACGUAAAUCUAUAUUUGAUGAUUUUCAGCAUUGGGAGCAGUAGUUUCGUCUUCUUAUCCCCCGUUUAUAUUGCUCUUGAGAAUUUUUGUUUCCAGUCCUUCGUCUCUUCGAGUGAUAUGCCUAUAGCAUAUUUUACUUCAAUCAUGUUAAUAUAUCGCCUUUCUAAACGCAACUCAGAGAUCACGCUUUUACUGGUCCAUUUGGCAGUCUUAGAGUAUCCUUCAACAUCACGUUUCAAAGAAUUUAUGUUUCUAGAUUUUGAGAUUGUCUUUGAAUGACAGUAAAAUGUCGCAACGAACAGUUUCGUUUUGGUGAUGCCACGGUCUUAAAAUAGUUUGAAUAUUCUUUCCAUUGUUGGCUAAUUUCUAACUACUCACCUUGAUAUCAUGAUCUGGAUAGCUAUACUGUAUAAAUUGGGAUAAGUAAAUAAAAAGCAUAGCUUAUCAUUACAUUAGAACCUCCAUGAGAGGACACUCUCGCAAGAGGACAUCUCUCUACACACACAGGACAGUUUUCAUCAACAAAAAUACAUUUUUUUUUACUAUUUAGCAACUCUCCAGUUAAGAGGACACCUCUCCUUAGAGGACACUAUGGCUCUGCAACUAGGUGUCCUUUACAGGGAGGUUCUACCGUAUAUGUGCAUCUUUGUAAAUAUAGAAAAAUAUUUAUUUUAGUUUUAUAAAUAACUGUAAUAUAAUAAAGGAAGACCCGCCGUAUAACUGCAUCAAUUCUCGUAAGUAUUUCCCCGGGUUGAUCAGCUGUCGUAGCCUGCUGGUAAAUCAGCUGGUGCCACAGCUGGUUGUCCCCAUCGUCACGGCAGGACUCUGGUACUUCUUUUGGAAGAAGGGGUUUAAAAUAACUAUUAAAAUCUGGAUAUAUGGGAUAUCUUUGGUCGUAAAUGGAUUCAAUAUAUAAAUUACUGCGCGCAAGAUGGGGAAACCACCACAUUAACAUCUUCAAUUGCAACGACUGAUGUCUACUCUACGUCGACCUUGAAAGGUCAACAAAAGACAAAUGUAGAUGGCCAUCCCCAAAAGUAUCAACCAGUGAAGACGCUGAACUCGCCAAAGAAUAUUUGUUCACAAACUUCGUAAACAUAUAUGCAUGGUGUAUCAAGACAUUGUGUUGUUUAUUUUGAAGUGAAAAGAAAUAUAAAAGAAACUAUCUCGAUAAAUUAACUAUGUGGGAGAGAUGUCAUAUAAGAACAUCGAUAUUACACACUACACAGACAGUUAAAUGUUCUCUCUGAACACACAGUUAAGUGCUAUCUCUAGUUUAACGAUUACAACAGGAAUCUCCAGAAAGGUCAGACACUUCUGUAGGUGGUUGCUCAUGGGUCCGAUUAGGUCAGGACUGUAGUAUCGCGCUGAGCCUCGAAACAACUCUUAUACUUGAACAAUUAUUCUUUAUUGCCAAGUUGAAACUACAAUAGAAAAGCGCCUAAAGUAAUAUGCCUACUCAACUCCUGACGUUGGACUCGACUCCUGAACUUUGAUCUAUACGUCCUAUUCAUAAGUUAAAUUAAAACUAUGAAAAUUAGCUACAACAAAGAAAAAAUAUGCAAAGACACAACAAGGACUAAUUAUUUUAGAUUUUUUACCAAAGUGUUCGUUCGGGUCAAUGGUCACUUGGUCACUCGUAUGAAUGAUCGCAUGCAUAGUUGACUUAGUUGGUCAUAGAAUGUUAUUUUCAAAACGAAGGAAAUAACAUUUGGCUAAGGAUGUCGGAACUAGGUAGGUAUUGAUUGGCUGCUUGCUAGGAUGGGUUUUGGUCUCUCUGUCUGAGAGGGCAAACCAUUUUUUAAUUUUAUAGUAACAUACGCACGAGCACUGCUUAAAUUGUUUAGAUUUGUUGAUGUUAAAUUACAAAUAUUUAAUGAUAAUGUAUAAUCGAAUCACGGUUAUAAGAUGGAAGGGCAGAGAGACAAAUUGAGGUUUGUAAACUUGUGAGGCGUAUACAGUAGCAUCGUGAGAGCACCCAAAGUAGUACAUUAUCAUUAGAUUGUGGUAAGGUUGGAUAGAGUAAACAACAUUGCUUUUUAUAAACAACACAACUAAUGUCAGUUCUUAUUAAUGUGACUAUUCAUUGAUACGCAAAAGAUAUUCCCAAUUAUCAUUAGUCCCAAUU
rnacentral:piRNA from 1 species